AAGGAGAUAUUUAAAAAGCACCAAGUUUCCAGGGCGGGAGAGAAAUACUGAGAAGGCUGUGCCAGCGCCCAGGAGAAGAUUGGCUUCCUGGACCUUUAUGGC